AUCUCUUUCUGGAGGUCCCUCCUUGGUGAAGUUUUUCCUUCAAACCAAGACUAUUCUGAUACAGGCAUGUAUGAAUUUAAGCGUGAAUGAUUUUUGGUGUUCCUUGAGGACUCCCACCAUCUUUUGCCUCUCCUAUGAUUGCUCUCCUCUCUCAUCCUCUCCACCAUCUCAUGUGUCACAGUCAUCCUUGGGAGCACUGAAGAUAGGACAUCCUGCCAGGGAGCCAUCAUCAGCACUGCCAUUUAACUGUCCGUCCUUGGGGCACCCAGAGAAAGCUGUGUGGUAGGUGCAGCAAGCACCGGGCGAGCUGCACCAGUGUCACAGAAAAUAUAGUCUGAAUCUCCCACCUGUCAGAGAAAGGACCUACCACCAGGCUACUGAGGCAGUCUGAUUGGCUGUGGCAAGAUAGAUUUGUUUUAACCCAUGAAAUUCCAGGCUAGGUUUGAACGUAGCAGCACACAAAGGUUCUUAGGAAUGCACUUAGUCUCAGAUGUUAUUCCUCAGUGAGCUUCAUCAUUUCUUGGUCAUAAUAUCAAGGAGAGAUAUAAUUAGAUUUAUAUUUAUGUGCUUUUUGCAACAUACAGGGUUAUUUUCUGUUCAUGCUAUUACUGCUUUGGGAGUAUAAACAAAACUGAUGAACACAUUAUUAUACCUUUAUGAGGGCAAGUUAUUCAAUGCAUGAAUGCUAGUGACACUUUCAGUACUGUGCUCACAAUGCUUAUUCUGAUCAUAAUGGUUUAAAUAAUACAUGAGCUCAUGCAUAUACAUACUGUAGCUCAGCUCUUUCAUUAAGAGCCUUGCUAAAUUUUCUCAGCUAGUCUUCCCCAGUGCUCAUGCAUUUUCAGGGUGAAAGUCCUUUUCUUUGUCACAGGCAGGUUGCAAAAUCUUGCUGAGAUAUCAUUUUAAAUUUGUUUGGAUCUGCAACCUAGUUUAACAAGGGCAACUUGCAGCCUUUGCUAUUCCUCCUGGGAGAAAAGAAGUGAAGCUUAUGUGAAGUGUUUCAAUGUAUGAAAAAGCCAUAUGAAAGGAAGAGUGGAAAAUUGGAUUCAGUAAUUAAGAUUUUUGUGUUGAGACUCCAGUGGUCUCUGUUCAGUUCCCCGGAGUUUCUACAGGAGUUUGGGCAAGUCACAUCAAUCUUUCUAAGCCUCUGUAAAGUAAGGGUAACAGUUUCCUCUUUUCUUCCCACUUUGUCUUAUUUGUCUCUAAGUUCUCAGGUAUGGAUUUCUUUUGAAUGUGUUUAUACCUUGCCUAGCAAACCAUGGCUUUGAAUGUAUUCAGGGACACUUUUUAAUAUAUACAAACCAAGUAUUAGCAAGUAAAAUACUUAUGAAUUUAUAUCUUCGGUACUCCAGUUCAGGAUAGUCACUUUUUAAACAAAUAUGUUGAAGAAUGUGUAUUUAUAGAGAAAGCUCUUGAUCCUAAUGUUUUUGGACAGAAAAGCAAGAUUCUGUGUUGAGAGCAGGACGGGAUCUGUGCAUUAAAUACAGCUGGCACAGAGAAAUGAA